GCCUGGGUGGCUCAGUCGGUUGAGCGUCCGACUUCGGCUCAGGUCAUGAUCUCACAGUCUGUGGGUUCGAGUCCCGUGUUGGGCU
rnacentral:tRNA from 1 species